AGCUUUACGUCAAUCACUUAAAGUAAUUCCUGCUCAGUGAACACAAACAGCCGCAGAAUUUUAUACUGUGCUAAGGUAGCAUAAUCACUUGUCUUUUAAUUUAAGAAUAGAAUGAACGGAACAACGAAUUUUAACCUGUUUCACUUUUUUCCAAUAAAACUACUUAAAAGUAAUAACACUUUUUUCCAAAAAAAAGACGAUAAGACCCUAAAGAACUUUACUAAAGUUAAGCUGGGGCGGCCUAAUAAAAAAAUCUUACUUUAACUCUUUCAUCCUAUCUGUAUCAUUAAUGUUACCUUAGGGAUAACAGCAUAAUUUAAUUUUAUAGCUCUUAUUUAAAAUUAAGAUUAUGACCUCGAUGUUGAAUAAAAAUCUUUUAAACGAAAAAAAUUAACAAGAAAGUCUGUUCGACCUUUAAACAAUUACA
rnacentral:rRNA from 1 species